rnacentral:rRNA from 1 species
GGCCGUGCGGCGUGCUAUACAUGCAAGUCGAGCGGACAGAUGGGAGCUUGCUCCCUGAUGUUAGCGGCGGACGGGUGAGUAACACGUGGGUAACCUGCCUGUAAGACUGGGAUAACUCCGGGAAACCGGGGCUAAUACCGGAUGGUUGUCUGAACCGCAUGGUUCAGACAUAAAAGGUGGCUUCGGCUACCACUUACAGAUGGACCCGCGGCGCAUUAGCUAGUUGGUGAGGUAACGGCUCACCAAGGCGACGAUGCGUAGCCGACCUGAGAGGGUGAUCGGCCACACUGGGACUGAGACACGGCCCAGACUCCUACGGGAGGCAGCAGUAGGGAAUCUUCCGCAAUGGACGAAAGUCUGACGGAGCAACGCCGCGUGAGUGAUGAAGGUUUUCGGAUCGUAAAGCUCUGUUGUUAGGGAAGAACAAGUGCCGUUCAAAUAGGGCGGCACCUUGACGGUACCUAACCAGAAAGCCACGGCUAACUACGUGCCAGCAGCCCGCGGUAAA